rnacentral:rRNA from 1 species
AGAGUUUGAUCAUGGCUCAGGACGAACGCUGGCGGCGUGCUUAACACAUGCAAGUCGAGCGGUAAGGCACCUUCGGGUGUACACGAGCGGCGAACGGGUGAGUAACACGUGAGUAACCUGCCCUUCUCAUCGGAAUAAGCGUUGGAAACGACGUCUAAUGCCGAAUAUGACCUCGGAAGGCAUCUUCUGAGGUGGAAAGCUCCGGCGGAGAAGGAUGGACUCGCGGCCUAUCAGCUUGUUGGUGAGGUAAUGGCUCACCAAGGCGACGACGGGUAGCCGGCCUGAGAGGGUGACCGGCCACACUGGGACUGAGACACGGCCCAGACUCCUACGGGAGGCAGCAGUGGGGAAUAUUGGACAAUGGGCGAAAGCCUGAUCCAGCAACGCCGCGUGAGGGAUGACGGCCUUCGGGUUGUAAACCUCUUUCAGUAGGGACGAAGCGAAAGUGACGGUACCUACAGAAGAAGGACCGGCCAACUACGUGCCAGCAGCCGCGGUAAUACGUAGGGUCCGAGCGUUGUCCGGAAUUAUUGGGCGUAAAGGGCUCGUAGGCGGUUAGUCACGUCGGGAGUGAAAACUCAGGGCUCAACCCUGAGCGUGCUUCCGAUACGGGCUGACUAGAGGUAUGCAGGGGAGAACGGAAUUCCUGGUGUAGCGGUGGAAUGCGCAGAUAUCAGGAGGAACACCGAUGGCGAAGGCAGAUCUCUGGGCCGUAACUGACGCUGAGGAGCGAAAGCGUGGGGAGCGAACAGGAUUAGAUACCCUAGUAGUCC